GAGCGUGACGGCGCGAGCAGGUGCGAAAGCAGGUCAUAGUGAUCCGGUGGUUCUGAAUGGAAGGGCCAUCGCUCAACGGAUAAAAGGUACUCCGGGGAUAACAGGCUGAUACCGCCCAAGAGUUCAUAUCGACGGCGGUGUUUGGCACCUCGAUGUCGGCUCAUCACAUCCUGGGGCUGAAGUAGGUCCCAAGGGUAUGGCUGUUCGCCAUUUAAAGUGGUACGCGAGCUGGGUUUAGAACGUCGUGAGACAGUUCGGUCCCUAUCUGCCGUGGGCGCUGGAGAACUGAGGGGGGCUGCUCCUAGUACGAGAGGACCGGAGUGGACGCAUCACUGGUGUUCGGGUUGUCAUGCCAAUGGCACUGCCCGGUAGCUAAAUGCGGAAGAGAUAAGUGCUGAAAGCAUCUAAGCACGAAACUUGCCCCGAGAUGAGUUCUCCCUGAGACUUAGAGUCUCCUGAAGGAACGUUGAAGACGACGACGUUGAUAGGCCGGGUGUGUAAGCGCAGCGAUGCGUUGAGCUAACCGGUACUAAUGAACCGUGAGGCUUAACCUU
rnacentral:rRNA from 1 species